GUGAGGGCAGCGCCCUCCCCGGCCAGGGCCCCCCCUCCUCCGAGCCUCACUCAACGGCCGUCGCGGCCGCCAUUUUGAGAGCGAGGAGAGAAGAAGAAGGAGGCGGCGGCGGCAGGGGGAGGGGAGAAAGGGAGGGAGGGGACCGGCGCAGCCACAUCGUCAGGCCGCCGGGCCCAGCCCGCAGCCGCCCGAGCGCGGUGGAGGAGACAGAGGGGAGGGUGCAGACCCUUGGCGCCUUACCGGAGCGCUGCACCGCCGCACCCUCGGGCCGCUGUUCAAUCGCUCCCUCACUCGCUAUCUCGGCCGUCGGACUCCGCCGCCGCCCCGCCGCUCCAGCUCCGUCUGUCACAGGAGCUGCCCCAGCGCCCUGACGUCACCGCGCCGCCGCCGCCCCAGACCCGCCAGGAAGAGGGAGGGGAGCGGAGGAGGGGCUGCGGCGCAUGCGCGGGCGCGGCUGGGCCCCUGAGUCGCCGUCUUCGUCCUGGCGAGCGGGCGAUCGCGGCCAGUGCUACUUGGCGGAUUGUGGGUGAUCAUCUCCUGGAAGCAAGAAGUCAUGGAGGAGAACUCUUCUGCAGGAUAGGAGGAGAAAAAGGUUCUUGAGUGCUGGGAUUAACAGGCAUGUGCCACCGUGUCCAGCCUAUGAUGAACAUUUCUGAACAUAAUUUUUUGUUACAUUGUGCUGCUUACUUCCUUAAGAUAGAACCCCAAAAUUAGGGUUACUAGGCCAAAAGAUAAGGUCUUUUAAUUUGUUUAUUUGUUUGUACUGGGAAUUGAACCCAGGGCCUUCACACUGUGCUACAUCUCUGGUUUGUUUGUUUGUUUAUUUAUUUAUUUAUUUACAUAUAAAUUUUGAAACUAGAUCUCACUAAGUUGAUAGACAGCUCAAGAUGAGCUCAAAUUUGCAAUCCUCCUGCCUCAACCUCUCAGAGGGCUGGGUUUAUAGUCAUGCUCAACCAUACCCAGCCCUUUCUUCUUUUUAAAUCGACUACCUCGGGUUUUUGGGUUUGUUUUGUUUUGGUUUUUUAUUUUUUUGAGACAGGGUCUCACUAUGUAGCCCAGGCUGGCCUCCAACUCAUGACGAUCCUCCUGCCUCAGCCUCCCAGGUGCUAGGAUUACAGGCAUGUACCACCAUACCCAGCUUAUCUCAGGUAUUUUGUCACAGUGAUGGAAAGCUGACUAACACAACUGUGAUGAAAUGGCACACCUGGAUUUGAGCAACAAUGAUACAGUAGAAGGAGGAUUUAUACUAUCUGGAUUUGAACAUCAAUGUAAUCUGAAUUUUGUUAUAAGGUGAAUGUAUUCUUACACUCUCUGGGCCAGUUGAAGCCAGAGCUGCAGGCAGUUCUAGCCCAUGAGAACUGCCAAUAUCAUAAAAUGGGCCACACAGGGAAACACUGCAGAGGUGCAGUGGCACAUGCUGAAGCAGAGGGAUUACAAAUUUAAGACCAGCCUAGUCAACUGAGACUCUCAAAAUACAUAAAAAGGGCUGACAAUGUAGCUCAGUGGUAGAGUGCUUACCUAGCAUGCACAAGACCUUCAGUUCAAUCCCCCUACUGGGGGGAGAAAAGUUAAAAAAAAAAACCAAACAAAUAAUCUCAUGGAUUGUACACUCUAGAUCUAGUUAUUCUGAAACUAUUUCCAUACUUUGUUCUUUAUAAGAUUUAGAAAUAUGAGCUACUAAAACAAAAAAGAAAAAGAAAAAGUAUGAGCUACUAAAUUUAACCCCACUCCCCUCCACUAGUUUUUUAGGUUUGUUUGUUUAUUUGUUUGGGGUUUUUUGAGACUAUGUCUUGCCCUGUAGUCCUGGAUGGCCUUGAACUUUCGACAGUCCUCCUGCCUCAGCCUCCAGAGUGCUGGGAUUACAGGCUUGCAUUUGGCUAGUUUUUCUUAAAGUAGUUUGAAUUUGACUUGCAAUAGAAAGAAUCUUGGCCUAUAUUUAGGCAUGGAAGUAGGAAAAGAUAUCAGAUAUUAGAAUAAAUUUAUAUAAAAUAGUAUUUUAGCUGGUCAUAGUGGUGCACAUCUUUAGUCCCUCCUACUGGAGAGCCAGAGGCAAGAUCACUUGAGAUCAAGAGUUUGAGAUCAGCCUAGGCAACAUAGUAAAACCUUAUUUCAGGAAAACAAACAGUCCCACAAGGUGGCAUACACCUGUAAUACCAGCACUCAAGAGGCUAAUGCAAGAGGGUCACUGCAAGUUUGAGCCCAGCGUGUGCUACAUAGUGAGUUUAAGGCCAGCCUGGACUACAUAACAAGACCCUGUCUCUAAAAACCAAAGGGGAUGGGGGAAAGAAAAACAAACAAAACAAAAUAAAGAAAUAAAAUAGCAUUAAAAAUAUGAACCACUGGCCAUGGUGGCAUAUGCCUGUAAUCCUAGCACUUGGGAGGUUGAGGCAGGAUUGUCAUGAGUUCAAGGUCAGCCUGGGUUACAUAAUGAGUUCACAGCCAGCCUGAACUAUAGAGUGAGACUCUAUCUCAAAAAUAAAUGAAUAAACCAAUACCAUGUAGAAGUAUAGUUUGAAAUUACUAAAUAUACUGUCAAAAAGCAAGCUAUAGAAUGGAAAGAAAUUUUUAUAUGCAAGUGAUAUGUAGGAUAUAUAAAAAAGUACAACAGCAAAUAAUUUAAUAACUUGAUUUGAAAAUGACCAAAAGAUUUCAGCCUUCCAAAAAUGAUACACAAAUGGCCAAGAAGUAUAUGAGAUAGGAAACAGGGACAUAGCUCUUUUACAAAUGGGAAGGGGACCGAGAGAUGAAGGAAAGGGUGUGGGGGGAAGGGGACAUAAAAAGAAUGAAGAAUUAAAAUGUGUUACAUACAUGUACCAACUUCCCAUGAUGAAUGUAAUCAUUAUGUACUGCAAACGUACUAAUAAAAAUUAAAAAUUUUAUAAAGAAGCAUAUGAAUAGAUAGAUAUCACUAAUCAGAAGAGAAAUGCAAAUUAAAACCAGAUGCUACUUCACACCCAUUAUGAUGGCUACUGUGGAAGGAAAAAGGAAAGAGGAAGGAAGGGAGAGGGGCAGGGAAGAAGAAAAGAGAUCUGUCUUGUGUUCCCUAUCAUGAAUGUAUCACCUUGUAUUUAACCAUUCCCUAC
ensembl:lncRNA